rnacentral:ncRNA from 1 species
CAAAGGCUUGGUCCUGACUUUAUUAUCAACUUUAGCUAAACUUACACAUGCAAGUAUCCGCACCCCUGUGAGAAUGCCCCACAGUUUCCCUCUCGGAAACAAGGAGCUGGUAUCAGGCACACACAAUUAAAGCCCAUGACACCUUGCUUAGCCACACCCCUAAGGGAACUCAGCAGUGAUAAACAUUAAGCUAUAAGUGAAAACUUGACUUAGUUAAGGCAAAGAGGGCCGGUAAAACUCGUGCCAGCCACCGCGGUUAUACGAGAGGCCCAAGUUGAUAAACAGCGGCAUAAAGAGUGGUUAAGAAAAAACUCAAACUAAGACCGAACGCUUUCAAAGCUGUUAUACGCACCCGAAAGUAAGAAGCUCAACUACGAAAGUGGCCUUACACACCUGAACCCACGAAAGCUAGGACACAAACUGGGAUUAGAUACCCCACUAUGCCUAGCCCUAAACAUCGAUAGCUCAUUACCCCCACUAUCCGCCCGGGAACUACGAGCAUUAGCUUAAAACCCAAAGGACUUGGCGGUGCUUAAGAUCCACCUAGAGGAGCCUGUUCUAGAACCGAUAACCCCCGUUCAACCUCACCCUCCCUUGUCUCCCCCGCCUAUAUACCGCCGUCGUCAGCUUACCCUGUGAAGGCCUAAUAGUAAGCAAAAUUGGCAUAGCCUAAAACGUCAGGUCGAGGUGUAGCGCAUGAGAGGGAAAGAAAUGGGCUACAUUCCCUAACAUAGUGAAUACGAAUAAUGAACUGAAACAUUCAUUUGAAGGAGGAUUUAGCAGUAAGCAGAAAAUAGAGCGUCCUGCUGAAACUGGCCCUAAAGCGCGCACACACCGCCCGUCACUCUCCCCAAGCUAUUAACUACACAUCUCUAAUACCCUAUAACUGCAAAGGGGAGGCAAGUCGUAACAUGGUAAGUGUACCGGAAGGUGUGCUUGGAAAAA